rnacentral:rRNA from 1 species
CCUACGGGGGGCAGCAGUGAGGAAUAUUGGUCAAUGGGCGCGAGCCUGAACCAGCCAAGUAGCGUGAAGGAUGACUGCCCUACGGGUUGUAAACUUCUUUUAUAAAGGAGUAAAGUGAGGCACGUGUGCCUUUUUGUAUGUACUUUAUGAAUAAGGAUCGGCUAAAUCCGUGCCAGCAGCCGCGGUAAUACGGAGGAUCCGAGCGUUAUCCGGAUUUAGUGGGUUUAAAGGGGGCGUAGAUGGGGUUUUAAGGCAGUUGUGAAAGUUUUCGGCUCAACCGUAAAAUUGCAAUUGAUACUGGCAGUCUUGAGUACAGUUGAGGUAGGCGGAAUGCGUGGUGUAGCGGUGAAAUGCUUAGAUAUCACGAAGAACUCCGAUUGCGAAGGCAGCUUACUAAACUGCCACUGACAUUGAGGCUCGAAAGUGUGGGUAUCAAACAGGAUUAGAUACCCCAGUAGUC